rnacentral:rRNA from 1 species
ACUCCUACGGGAGGCAGCAGUAGGGAAUAUUGCGCAAUGGACGAAAGUCUGACGCAGCCACGCCGCGUGAGUGAGGAAGGCCUUCGGUUGUAAGCUCUGUCGCCUGGGAAAACGGACUAUUGGGGAAAGUUCCAGUAGCGUGAUGGUACCAGGAGAGGAAGCACCGGCAAACUCUGUGCCAGCAGCCGCGGUAAUACAGAGGGUGCAAGCGUUGUUCGGAAUUACUGGGGCGUAAAGCGUGCGUAGUCGGUAUUGAGAGUCGCGGGGUGAAAUCCCAGGGCUUAACCCUGGAACUGCCUGCGAGACCUCAGUACUAGAGUGUGAGAGGGGAUAGUGGAAUACCCAGUGUAGCGGUGAAAUGCGUAGAGAUUGGGUGGAACACCGGUGGCGAAGGCGGCUAUCUGGCUCACAACUGACGAUCAGGCACGAAAGCGUGGGGAGCAAACAGGAUUAGAUACCCUGGUAGGAUAGCG